UUACGAUUUUGCCCCUAAGCUUUAGGAUAUUUACGAGAUUGUCCUUGGAGCUUCAACUAUAAAUAGGCCUCCCCAUUUCACUUGUAAAUCAACUCAGAAAUUACUCAAAAACACAAGUUUCCUCUUGUAGAGUGAGUGUUUGUUGAGUGAAGAGUUCUGUAUUCCCACAAUUUGUGGAAGGUGGUAAUAAAAUAUUUUCGGAGUUGGUCCCGUGGAUGUAGCCCUAGUGUAAGGGUGAACCACGUAAAAUUCUUGUGUUGUCUACUUUCUUUUCUUUCUUUGUCUAUCAUCAUCUAGCUUGUUUUAUUUAUUUGUUGCCGCCUAUAUGGCUGGAUCCGCCUAAAUGGCUGGUUUUAUUAACAUGUUUCUGCUUUCUUUCCUAACACCAAACGUCCCACGCUAACUGAUACCAAUGUCAGGGUUAUACCUGCUAACCUUAGUUGCACUCACUCAUUCACAAUUCUCUUAGAAAUAGUAGAGGAAACUGAAUAUUGAACUUCUUAUUUUCAUAAUCCAAUUCUGUACAAUAGGGUCUAUUUAUAAUUAUGACUUCCCACAUAUACAACCUUUUCCCCGGGCCAUAAUCCUAAUUUCAACCGAAAAACAACUAAUAACAAAAUUAAUCCUAUAUUUUUAAUUCCCUUAAUUUCCUAUUAUUACAAAGGAUGAGCAAAUUCUUUUCAGUGCCUAUAGGGUUUUUGAGUGUGGGGCAAGGAGGCGACGUUCACGCUCAUUGAGGCGUGGGGAGCUCAAUCGCGGCAACCUUUGCAAGAAGCACUAGCAGGAGGUCGUCGACACCGUCAAUAGCCUCCACGUCGGCGAUGCCGGCAAAAAAUCGUUCCGCACCGACGUUCAGUGCAAGAAUCGCAUCGACACGCUCAAGAAGUACAAGAUUGAGAAGGCUAGGGUUUCCGAUUCCGACGCCGGCUAUCGUAGCCCUUGGCCUUUCUUCCCCUGCCUCGAUGCCCUCAUCAGUGACACUUUCCCGCUCAGAAAAAUCUCCCCGUCGGUCGCCGCCGGUGGCCUGGAUGAUUUCCUCCCAUCCCGUCGGCCCCCGAUCCGUCACGCAGAAACGCAGAGACAAAUGGUUGAGGGUUUGGAAUACCAGAGGAUGCAACUCUUCAUGGAAACGCAGGUUCAGCUUCAGAAACUCAAGCGCACCAAGCAUUCUUUUGGAGCUGCCAUUGUCUAAGUGAAGCUUGUGCUGAAGAAGGCGAUAUUCAUCAAAGUAAAAUCACCCGGUUUUUACGAUUACUUCAUUGGCUAGUAGGGAAGGACAAUCAAGUGAUUGAAAAUAGUGGGGCCAGAUCUUUGGGUGUAAGAAGAGUUUGGGAUCCAUCCAUUUGAUAGAAGUUAUCUGGUCUAUCGAUAAAAAGGAGGAGAAUAGAAGAUUAGGAUUAACUUCAAAUUAUAUUCUCUAUUUUGCAACCGUCAUCAAGAAUGUUGUACUCUCAUUGAAUUCUAAGCUAGGAUACUACGUUAAUGCCGAAGGUUUAUGAUUUUUUUUUUCAAACAUCAAUUGUUGUUUCUAAGUCUUUAUAUGUCUUGGUAAACGUCCUUUUUGUAGGGAUUAAGAGGAUUCUUUAAUACUUUUAAAAAGAAAAGAGUCAUUAUAUAAUUUACCGAUCAUUGAAUUGACAAUAUUUAAUUAAA